ACGUAGGAUCCAAGCGUUGUCCGGAUUUACUGGGUGUAAAGGGCGUGUAGGUGGAUUCUUAAGUCGGUGGUGAAAUCUUGCAGCUCAACUGCAAAACUGCCAUCGAUACUGGGAAUCUUGAGUGCGGCAGAGGGAAAUGGAAUUCAUGGUGUAGCGGUGAAAUGUGUAGAUAUCAUGAAGAACACCGGUAGCGAAGGCGGUUUCCUGGUCCGUAACUGACACUGAGGCGCGAAAGCGUGGGGAGCAAACAGGAUUAGAUACCCUGGUAGUCCACGCCUUAAACGAUGGGUACUCGGUGCUGGGCCGCAAGGUUCAGUGCCAAAGCUAACGCAUUAAGUACCCCACCUGGGGAGUACGAUCGCAAGGUUG
rnacentral:rRNA from 1 species